rnacentral:tRNA from 1 species
UGGGGCGUCGCCAAGUGGUAAGGCAACGGCCUUUGGAGCCGUCAUUCCUAGGUUCGAAUCCUAGCGCCCCAG